rnacentral:rRNA from 2 species
GAAUGCUGACAUAAGUAACGAUAAAGCGGGUGAAAAGCCCGCUCGCCGGAAGACCAAGGGUUCCUGUCCAACGUUAAUCGGGGCAGGGUGAGUCGACCCCUAAGGCGAGGCCGAAAGGCGUAGUCGAUGGGAAACGGGUUAAUAUUCCCGUACUUGGUGUUACUGCGAAGGGGGGACGGAGAAGGCUAUGUUGGCCGGGCGACGGUUGUCCCGGUUUAAGCGUGUAGGUGUGUGUUCCAGGUAAAUCCGGUUCACUUUAACACUGAGGCGUGAUGACGAGGCACUACGGUGCUGA